rnacentral:tRNA from 1 species
AAGCUUUAUAUUCAAAUAAAUGAUAUAAAAUUGCAAAUUUUAUGGUGUAUUAUAUACUAAGGCUU